AUAGUUUAAUAGCUGAAAAGGCGCGCGAGAGCGUGACGGGCAGCAGAGUCUCGCUAUCGGAUCCUGGAUUUUUGGCACCGAAAAUAGCAGGGCGGGCGCUCGGUGUGCGGCGCUCACGCAGUGCGUGUCGCUCCGCCGUGUGAACAGCCCGCUCGUGAGGCCCAUUGGCGUAUUUUCUGUAGAAAAAGCAAACACACAAAGCCGCCACCAUGGACGCGAUCAAGAAGAAGAUGCAGGCGAUGAAGCUGGAGAAGGACAACGCCAUGGACAAGGCGGACACCUGCGAGCAGCAGGCCAGGGAUGCCAACCUCCGCGCCGAGAAGGUGAAUGAGGAAGUCCGUGAGCUUCAGAAGAAGCUGUCGCAGGUGGAGGAGGUCCUCACCCAGAGCAAGAACCAGCUCGAGACCGCCACCAAGACCCUCGAGGAGAAGGAGAAGACCCUCACCACCACCGAGGCUGAGGUCGCCUCCCUCAACAGGAAGGUUCAGCAGAUUGAGGAGGACCUUGAGAAGUCCGAGGAAAGGUCCGGCACUGCCCAGCAGAAGCUGCUCGAGGCCCAGCAGUCCGCUGACGAGAACAACCGUAUGUGCAAGGUGCUGGAGAACAGGGCGUCGCAAGACGAGGAGCGCAUGGACCAGCUCACCAACCAGCUCAAGGAGGCCCGUCUGCUCGCUGAGGACGCCGACGGCAAGUCCGACGAGGUGUCCCGCAAGCUGGCCUUCGUUGAAGACGAGCUGGAGGUCGCCGAGGACCGCGUCAAGUCCGGAGACUCCAAGAUCGGCGAGCUUGAGGAGGAGUUGAAGGUCGUAGGUAACUCCCUGAAGUCCCUGGAGGUAUCCGAAGAGAAGGCCAACCAGCGCGUGGAGGAGUUCAAGAAGCAGCUCAAGACCCUCACGACCAAGCUGAAGGAGGCCGAGGCCCGCGCUGAGUACGCCGAGAAGACCGUUAAGAAACUGCAGAAGGAGGUCGACAGGCUCGAAGACUCAUUGUGGAAAGAGAAGGAGAAAUACAAGGCGAUAUGCGAUGACUUGGACGGAACAUUCGCUGAACUCACAGGAUACUAACCGCCCUAGCUUAGUUUAAGACAACACCGUCCAACACAAAUUAUCCGUAGAGUCCAUUUGUAUGCCCUUCGAGGAGUUUAGACUUCUCGCCUACGCGUGAUUACGUGUAGCUGAUGAGAGAAUCAGCGCAGCCAUUUCCGUUUUAAUUUUCUUUCUCACUAAUCCCCCUGUUCUUUAGAGGAUUGUUGAUAUUUGAGCCAGAACACAUUUUUAUAACGAGCGCAUUUAUUGUUCCUCGGUAAAGGACUAAAAUUGAAUUGGCAAUCAUUGUACCUAAUACUGUUUUCAUAUUUAAAACUGUAUUAACGUAAAGUGUAAAAACGUGUUCUCUUACUCCUGAACGUCUGCAGAAUUUUGUCAAGUAGUUUAGCUUUUAAACAGAAAAUAAAACUGUCUUUUGGGGCAACUUGUGACAAGGUAUUUAGGUAAAGCUUGCAAAUCCUUGUCACAAGGGUUCUAAAUGACGACGGUGGUUUUUGCAAAAUGGAUGCAAAAGGUGUUUUAAUGCAUGGAAAUAAAGUUCUAAUUCCGAGCAUGCUAGGACGUUCAGACAAUCCUGUAUAGAUCGCAUAGUUUUAAGGCCCCGCUUUUCGUGUUGUGACUAACAUGUCUUACGCUUUGCUGCUACCGGCGGACAAUGCUUUCAAGACGAGCUGGGCAUCAACAAGGACAGAUACAAGUCCCUGGCUGACGAGAUGGACUCCACCUUCGCCGAGCUGGCCGGAUAUUAAAAAAAAAUAAGCUCCCGCGCACUCCAAUACAAACCCACGAGCCAUUUCUUUCUAUCACACUUGUGCGACAGAGAGAGACUCUUGCGUUUGUCUAUGUAACAAUUCAUACUGCUGCCUGCAGAAAUGGACAUCGACUAUCGUGAUGUAAUAAUAUUUAUUAUUUUAUGUAAAUUUAUUUACGAUUUUCAAUAAAAUUAAUUUAUAACAUC